GCUAGUGCCGCUGACGCUCCAGCAGGUCCCAGAUAUGCCACCUACUGACCUCGCUGUCACUCCCUUCUCCUCGUGUUGCGCGGAUGAAUGCUGGUCCAACUGAUAAUGAUGAGGCAGGAUGAGCCAUUGGGCAGAUGGUAAGGGGAAGUCCCAGGAGAGGACCCAGCAUGCACACAUACACAGAUAAAGACACCGGCCUCCUGGUUCCGUAAAUGCACACGCACUGUAAGUGUGCACAAAGACACCAGACCCCUGUUAUGUAAUCCAGCAGUUCCUCUCCCUCCUCGGACUGAGAGAGGCUCAGUUUUGGGCCGCCUCAGCAAGAAAAACAAAGUCAUCAGUCUUCAUAUAAAGCUGUCUUUUCAAUAGGACACAUGCCACUGGAUCAGUUUGGAUCCUGCGCGUCACAAUGAAGCCUCUCUGAAACGCCACAAUGAGGCACAUGACAAACCAGCGCGUUUCCUUUAGCGCUCGAUUGAAAGUAAGGUACAACUUUAUAAUGCAUGCAGCUUUUUUAUCCUUACUUAACCAUAAAUAAUUGGUUAGUUAACCUUAAAAACAUCAAUUAAGGAUGAUUCCAAAACCAACAAACUCAUGAACUAAAUAUUCUAUGUAAUGUUUAUAGUUCAGUCUGAAAUCCACAGGCAAAAAUAAACUUGUGGCUCUUCAGGGUUUCGUCUACAUUAACAAAUACGUAAAAAAGAAACAUUUGAUAAAGGCUAAAAAGACCUGACUAACUACUAGCCACUGCCUUAAUUACUGAUGCACUGCAGGGUUAGUAUAGUCCAGGGGUCUGUAAGCUGCAGCACUGGCUCUUUGGWCCCUCUGCAGUGGUUUUUUAAAAAUGUGACCAAACAUAACAUUUUUGUUUGUUUGUUUGUUUUUAUACUCACAAUUUGUAUGCAAAUGUGUCAUCAAAAAUGCAAAAAGUAAAUCAUGUUAGCUUGUAGUGUACUUACAUAAUCCAACUUCUUUCUAUGGUCUUUCUCUCAAAUCAAUCAGAAUUACCUUGAAGAAUUUGAAGACUACAUAAUAAUAAGCAUUAGUAAAAAACAUGCCUGAAUAUUUCUGUUGUACUCAGUAUAAACUGUAUAGUCUUUUUCUUGUUUACAUGAAUGUAGUAUUUUCAUUUGUCCUCAUGUGUAAAAAUAACAAUAAAUAA